rnacentral:rRNA from 1 species
UAGCAGACUACUACGUUGAUAGGUUACAGAUGUAAAGCUGGUGACAGCAUAGUCGAGUAAUACUAAUCAUCCGAAGCUUUCAAGAG